AAACCUUUCAGCUAUUCAAGACAGAGAAAUCUGUUGCUAUUCUAUUUCAUGUAAAGAGAAGGAUAACAUCGACAUAACAUUACAGUGGCUUAUUCAGCACUCCAAAUCAAGACACUGUUGAAGAAAACUUUUGCUGAAGAUUCUUUCCCAAUCACUUUGAUUCCUAUCAGCUAUACACAUCUGAAAAGAUAAAGAAUGCAGCUGCGUACUACCAGGACUCACUUUGGUUGUAUUUGUUAACAAAAGUAAAACUGAGUUAUAGCUUGUCUCUCUAUUUUGGUUCUGUUUUUUUAAAAAUCCAGAUACUUGUCUGCCUGUGUGAAAUUCCUGAACGCCUUAAUACAAGACUGAAAGAAAUCCAUACUUUUUUGGGCUGAAUUGUUUGAGUUUAUGCAUGUGAAUUGUCAAAUACUUAGUAUUUUUUUUCUAAUUGGAAACUGAAUAAACUGCACAGUGGAAA